rnacentral:rRNA from 1 species
GAGUUUGAUCCUGGCUCAGAAUGAACGCUGGCGGCGUGCUUAACACAUGCAAGUCGCACGAGAACGCUUCAGCUUGCUGAAGUUAGUAAAGUGGCGCACGGGUGAGUAACGCGUGGGUAAUCUACCUCCGAAUCGGGGAUAACAUUGCGAAAGCGAUGCUAAUACCGGAUAAUUUCUCUUGAACCUCGGUUUUUGAGAUCAAAGGUGGCCUCUCCUUGGAAGCUUCUGUUUGGGGAUGAGCCCGCGUACCAUUAGCUUGUUGGUAGGGUAACGGCCUACCAAGGCUGCGAUGGUUAGCUGGUCUGAGAGGAUGAUCAGCCACACUGGAACUGACACACGGUCCAGACUCCUACGGGAGGCAGCAGUGAGGAAUUUUGCGCAAUGGGGGAAACCCUGACGCAGCAACGCCGCGUGAGUGAUGAAGGCUUUCGGGUCGUAAAGCUCUGUCAAGUGGGAAGAAAUCACUUGGUGAUAAUACCACCAUGUAUUGACGGUACCACUGAAGGAAGCACCGGCUAACUCCGUGCCAGCAGCCGCGGUAAUACGGGGGGUGCAAGCGUUAUUCGGAAUUACUGGGCGUAAAGCGCGCGCAGGCGGUUUUGCAAGUCAGAUGUGAAAGCCCGGGGCUCAACCCCGGAAGUGCAUUUGAAACUGCUUGACUUGAGUAUGGGAGAGGGAAGUGGAAUUCCUGGUGUAGCGGUGAAAUGCGUA